rnacentral:rRNA from 1 species
AACGAACGCUGGCGGCAUGCCUAACACAUGCAAGUCGAACGAGACCUUCGGGUCUAGUGGCGCACGGGUGCGUAACGCGUGGGAACCUGCCCUUAGGUUCGGAAUAACUCCCCGAAAGGGGUGCUAAUACCGGAUAAUGUCUUCGGACCAAAGAUUUAUCGCCUUUGGAUGGGCCCGCGUUGGAUUAGCUAGUUGGUAGGGUAAAAGCCUACCAAGGCGACGAUCCAUAGCUGGUCUGAGAGGAUGAUCAGCCACACUGGGACUGAGACACGGCCCAGACUCCUACGGGAGGCAGCAGUGGGGAAUAUUGGACAAUAGGCGAAAGCCUGAUCCAGCAAUGCCGCGUGAGUGAUGAAGGCCUUAGGGUUGUAAAGCUCUUUUACCCGGGAUGAUAAUGACAGUACCGGGAGAAUAAGCGCCGGCUAACUCCGUG